GACGUAGGGUGCAAGCGUUGUCCGGAUUUACUGGGCGUAAAGAGCGCGUAGGCGGCUCGUUAAGUCGUGAAGUGAAAUCUCCAGGCUCAACCCGGAAACUGCUUUACAUACUGGCGAGCUAGAGGAAUGCAGAGGUUGAGUGGAAUUCCUGGUGUAGCGGUGAAAUGCGUUGAUAUCAGGAGGAACACCCAUGGCGAAGGCAGCU
rnacentral:rRNA from 1 species